CCCCGCCGCUCUGUGUCCGCCAGGUACUACGAGACGCCGAAGGAGCAAAGUUGCUUGCCCUGCCUCAGCUCCACUGGGGCAAUCCGCCGAGAGUGCCUGCCUCCCCCGACAGCGAGGCCGGAGGAGUGGAAAGGUGUCACCCCUUUUCUAGACAAGGCAUUUCCAGAGGGAAGUACUGGAAGUGGGGCGGUUCCGGACACGCCCCCCGUGGCUGUGAUUGGCGCAGCCUGCGCUGUCUCCGCCUUCUCCCUGGUCCUGCUGCUGUGGGGGCUGCUGCUCUCUGUGGAGCGAAUCAGCGAGUGCCACUCCAGAGCGCGCCAGCCCGCCGGCCCCCGUGCCCCCGACAAGGAGCGCAAGAGCCCUGGGACCCUGGACACUCCCUCUGGACCACCUGACUGUUCGUGUACCCCAGCCUCCCUGCGGAAACUCCUGCCGUUCGGACAGCACAGCCAGGAGGGAGAGCCGGAGCGGAGGCACCCAAGCUCUGGGGGUCCGCCCAGGUCCCGUUACACGCCGUGCUCUGAGAAAGUGCCCCCCCCUGCUUCAAUCGUCAUCAACGUCACCACCAACGUCAAGCCUCCCGGCCAGGGAGGGGGGGGAGACUGGGAGGGGCAGGACGGGCACCACCAGCAGACCCAGCUCUCCCUGGAGGAGAUGGAGCGCAAGACGGAGGAGAUCUGCAAAAUAGCGAAAGGUAGGAGCCUGGAAGAGCUGGACUACGACAGCGUACAGGAGCUGUCUCUGCUGGUGGACGCAGGAGGCCGUGGGGCCCUGAGGGGGCUGGGCCGGGCUCUGAGCGUCUCGCCAGAGGUUCUCGACAACUUGCACGGCUUCCAGGACCUCUUCCAGUACCUGCGCACAUCCACUUACACCCAGGUGCCCCAGCUGGCCUGCGCUGCGGCCUCCCUCCACAGGCCUGACCUUGUUGCUAGGAUACACCAGGCCCUGGUCUCCGUGGAGACCACCUCCUACGGGUAGGGUAGCCCUCAGGCCUUGUUCUGGGCCCAUCUCAGGCUGUGACACUUGCCAAACUGAACAAAGACUUUCAGAGGAGGGUAUCCUUCCCAGGACAAACGAGGGACAGACACAACUAAAUAUUCAGCAACUGUCUCAAAGUGGUUUUCUCACCUGUGGCUUCCUGUUGGGAAUAAACAAUUGCAGCAGAGGAGUGCCUGUGUAGGUUGUGGUGUACAUUAGGUGACACAGGUUGGCUUCUCACACAUUUUCCUACUGUAAAAAAAAAGUCAAGGUCCUUAAAAACCCUCCUCCUGAGACAAUGACAUUUCAGAGCAUGCAAUAGGUCAGUAGACGGAACGAUUAUUGUAAACAUGUCAUUUAUUGCAGCUCCGUGUUGUGGAAAAACUGCUGGCCCUUGUUUUCUGUAAGGUCGUGGGAGUAUCAGAGAUUUCAAAACUCCAACGUACACGAGAACGGGUUGGUGAACCUGUGGUUGCUGCCUGUAAUACCGCAAAUGAGUCAAGGAAAAAGCCCUUAGUCAUCAAAAUGGAACCUUCAGCCCAUUAAGAUAGGACAUUUGUCACUGCUGCCCUGCAAACGCACGCUGGUGACGGCCUGCCCUCUGCACUCCGG
ensembl:lincRNA